rnacentral:rRNA from 1 species
GAUGAACGCUAGCGAUAGGCCUAACACAUGCAAGUCGAGGGGCAUCACAUGAAGUAGCAAUACGGAUGGUGGCGACCGGCGCACGGGUGAGUAACACGUAUGCAACCUGCCUUCAACAAGGGGAUAACCCGUUGAAAGACGGACUAAUACCCUAUAACACAGGGGUCCCGCAUGGGAAUAUUUGUUAAAGGACAACCGGUUGAAGAUGGGCAUGCGUUCCAUUAGCUAGUUGGCGGGGUAACGGCCCACCAAGGCAACGAUGGAUAGGGGGACUGAGAGGUUUAUCCCCCACACUGGUACUGAGACACGGACCAGACUCCUACGGGAGGCAGCAGUGAGGAAUAUUGGUCAAUGGACGCAAGUCUGAACCAGCCACGUCGCGUGAAGGAAGACGGCCCUACGGGUUGUAAACUUCUUUUAUACGGGAAUAAAGUGCCCCACGCGUGGGGUUUUGCAUGUACCGUAUGAAUAAGGAUCGGCUAACUCCGUGCCAGCAGCCGCGGUAAAUACGCAGCAAUUG